GCAAACAAGUACCGUGAGGGAAAGAAGCAAAGAACUUUGAAGAGAGAGUUCAAGAGGGCGUGAAACCGCCGAGAUUGAAACGGAUAGAGUUGAGCAAACUCGAUCGCAUUCAUCCGAUCGCCCUAGCGGUUCGGCGGUUGUUGACUUCCUCGAUGAGGGCAACGCCGUCGCUGGCUGAAGGGUGUUAGAUUGGUGUAUUUGCGGUCGGUAUGCGCCGAGAGCUUUGCGAGCGCAUGAAGACGUUGAUGUAGUGGACCACUGGGUCCGGGCGUGGAACCCUGCAUUGAUUGAGGCAUGUCGUUCGUAGGGUGUUGCUGGGUGACGUCUCCGCUAUCCUGGGUCGGCUUUGU
rnacentral:rRNA from 1 species